UUAGGAAUAUUCGUCAAUGGGGGAAACCCUGAACGAGCAAUGCCGCGUGAGUGGUGAAGGUCCUUUGGAUUGUAAAACUCUGUUGUAUGGGAAGAAUGACCAAACUAGGAAAUGAGUUUGGAGUGACGGUACCAUGCCAGAAAGCUCCGGCUAACUACGUGCCAGCAGCCGCGGUAAUACGUAGGGAGCGAGCGUUAUCCGGAUUUAUUGGGCGUAAAGGGUGCGUAGGCGGCUUGUUAAGUAUGAAAUUAAAGCCCGGGGCUUAACUCCGGUUCGUUUCAUAAACUGGCUAGCUUGAGUAUGGAAGAGGUAAACGGAAUUUCUAGUGUAGCGGUGGAAUGCGUAGAUAUUAGAAGGAACACCAGUGGCGAAGGCGGUUUACUGGGCCAUUACUGACGCUGAGACACGAAAGCGUGGGGAGCAAAUAGGAUUAGAUACCCUGGUAGU
rnacentral:rRNA from 1 species